rnacentral:lncRNA from 1 species
CAAGAAGGAAGUCAUCCUCUUUCUCUUCCUCUUCCUCCUGCUCUAGAGCCGCCAUGUGAGCACGACAAGAGAAGACACCUACCACCGGCAUACUAUAUGCACCAAGUUGCACCAUGAUGACAAUGGACUAAACCUCUGAAAAUCCUGAGACAUAUACUUGGUGGCCAGAGUUUUGGAAUCUGAGUGACCCCACCAGGUGGACCACCUUAACCAGCAAGAAUUCUCACAGAGUGUGAGGAAAAUGCAGAAGGUAAUGGACCAGGGGCAGAAGACCAUGGAAAAAUACAACUCCUGCAGGAGGAGGAAGAGGAGUCCAGAAUUGACAUGACUGAGUUCAGAGACUCUACGAUCUCGCUAGAGGAGUCGGAGAGCCUGUACUGAAACACGCUACACUAUGGUCCAGGCUAGAGGUUCACAGACCACCGUGGUAGUAUCCGGAUAGGACCUUGAGGCACUGUGGCCCCUUUGUGACAUAAGUUCUCCAAUAAUAAAUGUAUUGGUUCUACUA